UCCCUCGAGGACGGCAUCCCGCCGGGGCUCCGUGCGCAGCCCGUCGCAGUCAAGAGAGCGCGGGCAGACAACUACCACUCCGAGGAACAUCUGAAAGAUUCGAUAUUCCUGGGGGAGCUGCAGCCGCGGCAGCCGAGCCUGGUGAAGAUGAUCGGCUACUGCUACGAGGGGUUGCACAGGCUUCUCGUCUACGAGCUAAUGGACCAUGGCAGCUUGGCAAACUACCUCUCUAAUGAUAUUCGUGUUGUGUUGUCAUUGUCAACACGAUUAAGCAUUGCUCUAGCUACCGCGAAAGGGUUGUUGUCCCUCCACGGUGAAGAGAAGCCAUUGAUCUCCAGCAUAUUUAACGCCUCCAACAUCUUACUAGACUCGGUG